AUCAGAUCGGUCCUCCUCCUCCAGCUCUGAGGUCAUUCAGAGAAAGCUGAGGAUAAAAUGCAGCUACUCCCUCUGGAGCAGGCGGCACACGGUGUUCUUGUGCCUGAUAAAUGUACCAAGAACUUCAUUAUCUGAUGAGGAAGGCUCCCGGGCCGCCCACGCCUGCUGCCAAGCCAGCCGAGGGCGUUGCUGCAGGUGGGAAGCAGCGUGGGACGGCUGGGCCCGCCUCCUUGAGCCAAAGCCCCUAAUGAGGCCAGCUCAGGAAGAUUCCUCUGGACCAGUCUCAGCCUCAGCAGGAGGGACGGACAGGGACUUUGGACAAGACUGAGGCUCUGAGAGGUUGUGGAGGUGUCACCCAGCUGGAUAAGGGUCAGAAAUAAGAUGGAAAGUAUUCCGAUCUCUGUAAUGACAAUACCCAGCACUUACACAGAACCUUCUACGGGACCCGCACGGCACAUCUAUUCACUCAUUCAAUCCUCCAGCAACCCACGAGGGCAGGACUGUCGCUGUCUUGGUGCCACACGCGAGGAAACUGAGGCACAGAGAAAGAAGCUCGCCAAAGGUAAAAUCGCCAGCAGCAAGUUAGAGGUUGCAAGGCCUUCCUCCCCACAAAGGGUUAAGUGGGGGCCGGUGAUGUAAGUGCUGAUCCCACCGGUGUUUGAACAGGAAAAGAACUCGGGCGCUGUUUUUCUUCUCGGAAAGCCAAUCCCAGCGGAGUCGCUGGGGUUUUUAAAACCAAAUGUCUUUACAGCCUGAAAUGAAUAACCAUGACCUCAGCCUUCACACACGCAGCCCCUGCUGCUAUACAUUUAGCUUCGGCCGCUCUCCGGGCAGCCUGUAAAUAACCCACGUCUGCAGAGCACAUGUGGGGAGGACGGGCUGCCGUCAGAAACGGUUUCAGUUGGAAGGCAGGGCCUCCAGCCCUGUGAACGUCACAGUCAUCUGUUAGCGAUUUCCCGCUCCCAUUAAAGCCAGACGCUGGAUCCGUUUGCGUCGCUGCGGACUGUCCUGAGGGAUUCAUUUUUAUUGCUUGGACUCCAUCUCUGAG
rnacentral:lncRNA from 1 species